AGAUUUUGUUUUAAUUAGUAAUUUAUAUGUUUUUGUGUUCACAUUUACAGUUAUAAAAAAGUUCUAAAAGUAAAAAAGUUUUUUACUCUUGAUAUAUACAAGGUUGCGUGAGUUUUUGCGAGGCAUGGCAGAUGUCCGGGGGGAGGGGGGGGGUCACUAAUUCGGACAAUGUCGGACAAAGGGGGGAGGGGGGGUCUGAAAAUCCAUCAUUUGGCCGGACAUCCUUUGUGAAUGGCCCCUUACAUGUUCAACAUCUUUCCCAUGAUGGGUAAAAUAUUCUGCUUUAACAAAGUAAGAAAACAGAGUAGGCCCCAUUGUGGCUUGAUAGGUUAAUUAGCUGAGGAAAGAGAUGAUUACUCCGGUGUCACAGCGGCUUUGGACUCCCCGCGGAUAUGGACCCCCCGGUCCAUAUCAGCAUAGACAAUCCAGAAGACAUGUCUAGGACCUGUAUAGAUGUUUGUAUGCGUUUCAUUUAGCACAGGUAAUCUCAACUGUUUUAGGGUAAAAUGACCAUGGCGGUCAACAUAGCAUAUGUGCCAAAACCUGAAUCCGGGGCAAAAGUCCUGAAAAUGACCCCGCCCUGAAACGGCAGUGCCGACAUAGCUCUAACUUCCGAAAACUCGGCGAUAAAAAGGAAACAAGGAAACUGAAAUGGUGUUUUCGUGGGGGGUGAGUGAAUUAAAUUAUGUAUUAUAUUUAAUUAAAGAAAACAAUGACAAUCCUUAUGAAAACUACAAUAAUUAUAUUAAAUUAAGCCAGGGGUCUUCACCCCUUUUUUUCGGCGACCCAAACCCAAGCUUCAUAGGUGUCCCGCGACCCUGAACACUGCCAAUAAAACUUUCGAUAAUUAAAAACAUUGUGGCUUUUCACCGAAAGCUUUCCGAGUGUAUGACGACGACUCUACUUCGGAAGACGACGUGCGCCGAAGGCGCGCGAGUGGUGCUAAGCCAUAAUGUUUGAGUUACAUGAAGUAAAAGGUAUUAUAUCUAAAGCUUUACCAGUUUACCUGUUUACCAUAUUAUUCUAGCAAUCUAGCGCUUGAGUGCUUCAUAAUAAUCGUGAAAAAAACAUUAUAAUCGCAAAUUUCGCAAGGAAAUAUUCAUAUGUAAAUAUGUGCAUCUUAUCACUUGAUCUCUCG